rnacentral:rRNA from 1 species
CGUGUAGGCGGUUUGGCAAGUCGAGUGUGAAAUCCCACGGCUCAACCGUGGAACUGCGCUCGAAACUGCCUUACUUGAAUGCGGGAGAGGUGUGCGGAAUUCCUGGUGUAGCGGUGGAAUGCGUAGAUAUCAGGAAGAACACCGGUGGCGAAGGCGGCACACUGGCCCAGCACUGACGCUGAGGCGCGAAAGCGUGGGGAGCGAACG